rnacentral:rRNA from 1 species
CCUACGGGUGGCAGCAGUGGGGAAUAUUGGACAAUGGGGGGAACCCUGAUCCAGCCAUGCCGCGUGUGUGAAGAAGGCCCUCGGGUUGUAAAGCACUUUCAGUGAGGAAGAACGCCUGGUGGUUAAUACCCAUCAGGAAAGACAUCACUCACAGAAGAAGCACCGGCUAACUCCGUGCCAGCAGCCGCGGUAAUACGGAGGGUGCGAGCGUUAAUCGGAAUUACUGGGCGUAAAGCGCGCGUAGGUGGCUUGAUAAGCCGGUUGUGAAAGCCCCGGGCUCAACCUGGGAACGGCAUCCGGAACUGUCAAGCUAGAGUGCAGGAGAGGAAGGUAGAAUUCCCGGUGUAGCGGUGAAAUGCGUAGAGAUCGGGAGGAAUACCAGUGGCGAAGGCGGCCUUCUGGACUGACACUGACACUGAGGUGCGAAAGCGUGGGGAGCAAACAGGAUUAGAUACCCUUGUAGUC